GAACCAGUCAGUCUACAGAUGGUUAGAACCAGUCAGAACCAGUCAGUCUACAGAUGGUUAGAACCAGUCAGAACCAGUCAGUCUACAGACGGUUAGAACCAGUCAGAACCAGUCAGUCUACAGACGGUUAGAACCAGUCAGAACCAGUCAGUCUACAGAUGGUUAGAACCAGUCAGAACCAGUCAGUCUACAGACGGUUAGAACCAGUCAGUCUACAGACGGUUAGAACCAGUCAGAACCAGUCAGUCUACAGAUGGUUAGAACCAGUCAGAACCAGUCAGUCUACAGACGGUUAGAACCAGUCAGAACCAGUCAGUCUACAGAUGGUUAGAACCAGUCAGAACCAGUCAGUCUACAGACGGUAGGAUCCAUCUCCCCGGUGGAGGCUAAGCUCUGGAGCAUCAGGAGGGAACACGUUGCUGCUAUUUCAGACUCAGCCGGUUUGUCGAGGGAAUAAGUGUGUUUGUGUAACUGCUGUUAGAUCUGUUUCAGUCUUUAGCCAACAUCAUUUCUAGUUCCGAUCACAGUUUACUGACCUGCAGAGGUUUAAAGGUUCUGGUAACUUCUCAGCAUCCUCCUCAUUUUAAUGGAGUUAUCACCUAUCUGAGGCUUUGUUUAAAGAGGAAAGGAGCUAAAAGUCUGAGGCUACACUAGAAAAAAAAAUCUGAGCCACUGUUAAAAACUGGACUUCUAGAAGGUCCAAAAGCUGUAAGAAUCACAGUAAAUAUGUGGAAAUGAAGGUAUUUUAGCAGAUUAGUGAAGGAAAACACGUUCAUUUAAGAUUAAACUUUGUAAACAAACAUUUUUUUAAACCUACAGAUUCUUGACACAAAAAUUGCAGCCAUCAAGCUAAAGUUAGCCACAUUACUGCUUCUACAUGAAAGUUAACAUUGGCCACAUUACUACAACUACUGCUACCAUCAAAGCUAAGAUUAGUUCAGAGUGUGUUAAUUUAUCUGCUCCAUAAAAAGAAAAUUCAAAAUGUAAAAUAUAUAUAUAUCUUUUUAAAAACAAUGUCAUGUGAAACUAUCAUUAAUGUUCCUGACAAACAAACCUCAUAGGAGGGUUAACACGAUUACAAAGUUUUACAUGAUAUUAUGUGAAAUUGAACGAAACAGGACAAAAAUUGUAGAAUUGAAGUGAACUGUUAAAAAAAUAUCCUUGAAGAAUUGUUCCUGGACAUCAUGUGUCUGACAGCAGGUAGUUUCUGUCUUUGUCUAGAAUACGUUGUAGAGUAUUUGCAAAACUAGAGCAAGAGACUUCCUGUAAGGUCCUCUUAACAUUUACAAUACUCAUGCUUCUUUCCCCAAGAUAACGGGAACUAGAACCAACUCUGACCCUGAAACUGGUGCAUAAAAACAGACCAGAAUGUUAGAAGUGAUGUUUGAAGACACACGAACUUCUACUGAAUGUUCUUCCACGAUGUUCUACGUCCAAACUAACAGUGGAGCUCUGGGGUGGUGAAGUUCUUGAAUCUUCUUGGUUCCAGACUGAAGUCUUUCCACACCAUCUGAGGGACUGAGGUGAACUUUAGUCAGACUUUCAUGGUGACGUUCAGAACACCAGCAGUAGGUCAAAGUUUCCACCAGUCUGAUGGAACCAUUCAUCUUCUGCUGCUUGAAUCUUCUGUCCAGACCUCAGUCCUGAUCCCUGAACGUCAUCAGGUCAAAUAUCUAAUUAGUUUUUACUUUGGUUUGUCAUAAAACACAGUUUACAGCAGAAGUUAGUACACCUCUGUGGAAUAUCACUUAAAUGUCAAAUGAUUCCAAAGUGAAUUACCUCAAGGACUGCAUUAUUUUCUACGUGGAACAGCAGAACAUUUCUACUGAACAACAAAAAAGAAACUCUUCAUGAAGGUAGUAGUCAAAGUUCAGCCACAAAGUAGAAACUAAACUGAGUCCAGCUGUGAUUCCAGUCAGUCUAACUGAUGAACAUGGUUCUAAAAGGAGCUGAGAACAAGAGAAUGUUCUCAGCUCUGGACCUAUGGACUGGAUCUAUCUAUGUCUGCAUCAUGGCUCCACAUGGAGAAGAACUGAACAGAGGAAGAGAAACAUCUGAGGAGUCAUAGUUCCUGCAUUAUCAGAGGUCUAGUACCACUAAUCAGGAGGUCUAGAAGGAGUCAUAGUUCCACUAAUCAGGAGGUCUAGAAGGAGUCAUAGUUCCACUAAUCAGGAGGUCUAGAAGGAGUCAUAGCUCCACUAAUCAGGAGGCUCUAACUCUAACCCAGUUAUGUUCCUGAAGAUGUUCCUGGUUGUUUGGUGUCUUUGUGAUGUGGUGGGGUGUGUUUUCCUACGGGGGUAGGUCAGUGACAUUUAGGAUUUCCAUUUAUCCAAGAUGUUCCAGCAGAACACCACCUAGAACCAAUAUGAUGGAUGUUGUUCACCUGUCAGUGGGUCUAAUGUUGCAGCUGAUCUCUGUACAUAAAUAAAUAAAACCCAGACUAUGUUAGACCAUCAUUAAAGACGGUUUCAGUCCAUCGUUCAGACGAACUCUGACCAUCAGUUCUUCCUGUGGUUCC